GCGCCCGUAGCUCAGGGGACAGAGCAGCCGCCUUCUAAGCGGUAGGUCGGGGGUUCGAAUCCUCCCGGGCGCGCCA
rnacentral:tRNA from 4 species